rnacentral:rRNA from 1 species
CCUACGGGCGGCAGCAGUGGGGAAUAUUGCACAAUGGGGGCAACCCUGAUGCAGCGACGCCGCGUGAGUGAAGAAGUAAUUCGUUAUGUAAAGCUCUAUCAGCAGGGACGAAAAUGACGGUACUUGAGUAAGAAUCCCCUGCUAACUACGUGCCAGCAGCCGCGGUAAUACGUCGGGGGAAAGCGUUAUCCGGAUUUACUGGGGGUAAAGGGAGCGUAGACGGCAGUGCAAGUCUUGUGUGAAAGGCGGGGGCUCAACCCCCGGACUGCUCUGGAGACUGUACGGCUGGAGUGCAGGAGAGGGAAGUGGAAUUCCGAGUGUAGCGGUGAAAUGCGUAGAUAUUAGGAGGAACACCAGUGGCGAAGGCGGCUUACUGGACAGUAACUGACGUUGAGGCUCGAAAGCGUGGGGAGCAAACAGGAUUAGAUACCCGUGUAGUC